GUGAUAUGAAGAUUCACAAUGUAGGAACACGAGAAACCAAUGGAGCUGAGAGCCAUUGGAAGGUUUCUAUAUAAGUACUCCUAAGCUGAAGCCGAAGAAUAUAAUAAUUUUCAAAGACUGGGAACCACCCGACCCGCUCAUUACCAUGUACUUCUCAAUCAGAUUGGCUUCUCUGCAUAUUAGUUACAUCCUAUGUUGGAUACGGGGUCAGGGCCAGACAGGUGGAGGUGCUAUUUAGAAGGCUCGGGCGAGUUUACUGUUUGCAACCUUCAUUACAAGCUACAAAGGUCUGGUGCAUUCAGUAGUGGGUUAUGUUUCUGCCAGAACAAUUGGUCUCUUUUGAAAGUGAUUUUUUUAGCGUGGAGGGUUGCUUUAAAUGGGUUACCCACGUUGACAGCCUUACAGCAGAGAGGAAUUGGUUUGGGCUCGGUCCGAUAGCCUAAUAUAUUAAUUUCCAGGGUCUCUAAAUAUAUGUAAUAAUUUCUUUUUCGGGUUGUCUCAAAAUAAAUGCACUGUAUGGUAUAUUUUCUUUA